rnacentral:misc_RNA from 1 species
CUCUCUCUCUCUCUCUCUCUAUUCAUCAUCAUCUCUAACGAUCUAUGUAUCUGGUCUAUCAAUCAUUGAUUCCCCAUCUAUAUUUCCGGGGCAGAAAGAACUCUUUCAUUUACAUACAAAUACACAAAAUUAUCAAAGAGAACCAACCUUAAUACCUUAUGCAUUUUGAUAAUGAAAUGAAACAUGCAUGACGGGAAUUCAAGAAUCCAUUUGACGAGUAAGAAUAAAGCGACUUUUAAGGAAGCUUCUCUUUGUAAGUAUGGGACUUGGGAAGAACACAAGAAGAAACCAGAAAGUGGUAAAUAAAAUAAUGUUGCAUAUAGGGUAUAGCUACAUGGGGUCUCUAAAAAGUAAUUAUGUGAUGAGCUAUACACGCAGAUCUGAAGUAGGCUUUCUGGUAGUCACCUAUGAAAGUGGAACAACAUGAAGAAGAAAGCUAGACAUGAGACAAGUGUCCGAAAGAUUCUUGCUUCUUGAUAUAAACCAAGAAAACUCAAACACUGUUGAUUAUAAAGGCCUAUACAAGCUUUCUUUCUCAAUCAGUUAAUAGACCACUGCAUCGAGCGAACGCUAGAAACAGUCAAGGGUGUUGACUUUCUUUCACGUCUUCAAAAAACAUAAAGGUCUACCAUUGACCUAAAAAUGUUGAACGUAAGCGUAGCUUUUCUUGCAAUUUAAAAGGCCAGAUGCCAUGUUAAAUAAAUAAUAAAAAAAAUUUGAAGAAUCUCACGUCUAUUAACCACAGGUGGCUUAG